rnacentral:rRNA from 1 species
ACGGAAGGCAGCAGUGAGGAAUAUUGGUCAAUGGGCGGAAGCCUGAACCAGCCAAGUCGCGUGAAGGAUGAAGGUAUUAUGUAUUGUAAACCUCUUUAGUCGCAGAGAAAUAAGGAGGUCGAGACCUCUGAUGCUAGUAUGCGAAGAAUAAGGAUCGGCUAACUCCGUGCCAGCAGCCGCGGUAAUACGGAGGAUCCGAGCGUUAUCCGGAUUUAUUGGGUUUAAAGGGUGCGCAGGCGGCUUUUUAAGUCAGUGGUCAAAUCGUGGGGCUCAACCCCAUCCCGCCAUUGAUACUGGAGAGCUUGAUUGCGGUCGAGGUUGGCGGAAUUCGUCGUGUAGCGGUGAAAUGCAUAGAUAUGACGAAGAACACCGAUUGCGUAGGCAGCUGACCAGGCCGUAAAUGACGCUCAUGCACGAAAGUGCGGGGAUCGAACAGGAUUAGAUACCCUGGUA